AUGUCCGGGAUGUGGGAUCAGAGGCUGGUGCGUUUGGCGGUUGUACAGCAGCUUCGGGCUGCCUAUGGAAUUAAGGUCAAGGGUGGCCGUGCGCAGUGCGAUCGCAGGAGACAGGAAACAACAACCACGGAAACAGUGGGUAAAAUAUUUGGAGUAGCAUUAAAUGCAUUGCCCCAGGCUGUUGUACCAGAAUAUGGACAUAUUCCAAGUUUUCUUGUUGAUGCUUGCACGUCUUUAGAAGAGCAUGUUCAUACAGAAGGGCUUUUUAGGAAAUCAGGAUCUGUUAUUCGUCUAAAAGCACUAAAGAAUAAACUUGAUCAUGGUGAAAGAUGCCUGUCUUCUGCACCUCCUUGUGAUACCGCGGGACUUCUUAAGCAGUUUUUUAGGGAAUUGCCAGAGCCCAUUCUCCCGGCUGAUUUGCAUGAAGCACUUUUCAAAGCUCAACAAUUAAAAACAGAGGAGAAGAAUAAAGCUACAUUGUUGCUCUCCUGUCUUAUGGCUGACCACACAAUUGAUAUAUUAAGAUACUUCUUUAACUUUCUCAGGAAAGUUUCUCUUAGGUCCAGUGAAAAUAAGAUGGAUAGCAGCAAUCUUGCUGUAAUAUUUGCACCAAAUCUUCUUCAGACAAGUGAAGGACAUGAAAAGAUGUCUGCUAACACAGAAAAAAAGCUACGAUUACAGGCUGCAGUAGUACAAACUUUUAUUGAUUAUGCAUCAGAUAUCGGGCAUGUUCCAGAUUUUAUCCUAGAAAAGAUACCAGCUAUGUUGGGGAUUGAUGGUCUCUGCGCUACUCCAUCGCUAGAAGGCUUUGAAGAAGGUGAUUACGAAACUCCUGGUGACUAUAAGAGAAAACGAAGACAAAGUGUAGGAGAUUUUGUUAGUGGAGCAUUAAAUAAAUUUAAAUCUAACAGGACACCUUCUAUUACACCUCAACAGGAAAGAAUUGCCCAGGUAUCCAUUUCACCAGCAAUUCUUACACCAAAUGCUAAGCGUAAGCUGCCGGUAGAUUCUCAUGGUUUCUCAAGUAAGAAAAGGAAGUCCAUCAAGCACAAUUUUAACUUUGAGUUGUUGCCAAGUAAUCUCUUCAGUAGCAGUUCUACACCAAUAUCAGUUCACUGUGAUACAAGCCCGGAAGGGUCAUCUCAGAGUUCAUUCUCUCCUGUCGCCAUCAGUGGAAACCAUUUGGUCAGUACAAAUGUGCUAAGGCGAAGUAAAAGGCUUGCAAGCAAAAAGGUUUGCAGGGUGGAAUCAGGAAAAGCAGGCUGCUUCUCUCCUAAAAUCAGCCGUAAAGAAAAGGUUCGAAGAUCUCUUCGUUUGAAAUUUAAUCUAGGGAAAAAUAGCAAAGAUGGAAAUGAGUGUUCUGGUAUCAAUAGAUCUGAAAAUGUUGGUCGACGACUUGCAAAUCAACAAAGUUUAAAAAAUAGGAUUGACUCUGUAAAAACAGGUCUGCUUUUUAGCCCAGAUACUGAUGAAAGAUUAACAAAGAAAGGUAUGUUUACAUAUUGGUAG
rnacentral:lncRNA from 1 species